CAGCUAACAGUAGGAAGAAACUCAGAUGUAGCCCUUCCACGGAUCUGCUCAAUAUUCUGUCAUGGCUGAAAAAGCAGACUACUGUCACAAUAAAACCUCCUUUAUAGUCCUAAAGAACAGUAGUAAAGGGAAAUCCUUCCAAUGGAGAAGAGCUACAAAAGGAACAACUGAUCAACUUUUAUAUGGAGGAACACCAGGGAGAGAGGGGCCAUUACCUGCAAGACUAGGACUCAAGUGUACCCUCUCCUCAAGCAGGCACUGAUAGGGGAUAGCCCAGAAGUGGCUGAGACCUGUAUGUUCAUUUUCUUUUCUGGAAUUCACCAAUCAGGUAAGUCAUUGCUCUUUAACCAGGGA
rnacentral:lncRNA from 1 species